ensembl:rRNA 5S_rRNA 5S ribosomal RNA
GCUUACGGCAAUAUCAACCUGGCUAUGCCCGAUCUCGUCUGAUCUCGGAAGCUAAGCAGGUUUGGGCCUGGUUAGUACUUGGAUGGGAGACCGCCUGAGAAUACCAGGUGCUGUAAGCU